UACGGAGGGUGCGAGCGUUGUCCGGAAUCACUGGGCGUAAAGGGCGCGUAGGCGGCCGCGUAAGUCAGUUGUGAAAUCCCGGGGCUCAACUCCGGGGCUGCAGGUGAGACUGCGUGGCUAGAGCACGGUAGAGGCGAGUGGAAUUCCCGGUGUAGCGGUGGAAUGCGUAGAUAUCGGGAAGAACACCGGUGGCGAAGGCGGCUCGCUGGGCCGUUGCUGACGCUGAGGCGCGAAAGCGUGGGGAGCAAACAGG
rnacentral:rRNA from 1 species